AGCUUUGCUCAGUGGCAGUAUUGUAGCCAAUGAGGUUUAUCCGAGGCAUGAUUAUUGCUAAAAAAAAAAAAAAAAAAAGGAUCUCUUACCCGUUGAGACAGCAUGGAGGGACCUGGAGAAUAUUAUGCUAAGCAAAAUAA